ACACACACACACACACACACACACACACACACACACUAUUUUGGUUGAGUCAGUUUCUUGCCAAUCUGAGUUUUCACCUGUGGGUGCACAAGAUCUUCAGGCAACUUCAAGAAAAUGG